CCCCAGACUCCUACGGGAGGCAGCAGUGGGGAAUAUUGCACAAUGGGGGAAACCCUGAUGCAGCGACGCCGCGUGAGCGAUGAAGUAUUUCGGUAUGUAAAGCUCUAUCAGCAGGGAAGAAGAUGACGGUACCUGACUAAGAAGCCCCGGCUAACUACGUGCCAGCAGCCGCGGUAAUACGUAGGGGGCAAGCGUUAUCCGGAUUUACUGGGUGUAAAGGGAGCGUAGACGGCGAUGCAAGCCAGAUGUGAAAGCCCGGGGCUCAACCCCGGGACUGCAUUUGGAACUGUGUGGCUGGAGUGUCGGAGAGGCAGGCGGAAUUCCUAGUGUAGCGGUGAAAUGCGUAGAUAUUAGGAGGAACACCAGUGGCGAAGGCGGCCUGCUGGACGAUGACUGACGUUGAGGCUCGAAAGCGUGGGGAGCAAACAGGAUUAGAUACCCGAGUAGA
rnacentral:rRNA from 1 species